rnacentral:ncRNA from 1 species
AGUCUAAAUAGAGGUGCGCCGAGGAUGAGUACAUCUUUUCGAAAUCUGCUGGGGGGCAGGAAAAGGGGGAAAGGCUAAAGCGCCGAAGCCGGUUGCCAUCCCCUGAAUGGUAGAGGUUGGGGUGCUCAUGAACAAUGAUCGUCCUGUCACGAGAAAUGCCAGUUUCUUGUGGAGCGCUAUUUACGAU